rnacentral:rRNA from 1 species
GACGAACGCUGGCGGCGUGCUUAACACAUGCAAGUCGAACGAUGAAGCCGGAGUUGCUCCGGUGGAUUAGUGGCGAACGGGUGAGUAACACGUGAGCAAUCUGCCCUUGACUCUGGGAUAACUGCGGGAAACUGUAGCUAAUACCGGAUACGACACCUUGGGGCAUCCCAGGGUGUGGAAAGAAUUUCGGUCAAGGAUGAGCUCGCGGCCUAUCAGCUAGUUGGAGAGGUAAUGGCUCACCAAGGCGACGACGGGUAGCCGGCCUGAGAGGGUGACCGGCCACACUGGAACUGAGACACGGUCCAGACUCCUACGGGAGGCAGCAGGGGGGAAUAUUGCACAAUGGGCGAAAGCCUGAUGCAGCAACGCCGCGUGAGGGAUGAAGGCCUUCGGGUUGUAAACCUCUUUUAGCAGGGAAGAAGCGAAAGUGACGGUACCUGCAGAAAAAGCACCGGCUAACUACGUGCCAGCCGCCGCGGUAA